rnacentral:snoRNA from 13 species
UGAUAUGAUGAUUUGUUGUCGACCGGGCGGACAUAUUAGUAUCUGUUAAAGGGUCGCCGUCUACUCUCAUCGUUCUUUUGUGUACAAAUUUUUUAAAGGAGCGAUGUUGAUGGCAUUAUGGUUCUUUAGUGGAGAAUUGAUGAUUGGUCACAAGACAUCUGAUU